UUCAAUAUGUACGUACAUAUAUUCGCAUGAAAAAUGUCUCACAAAGUCGAUCCAUAAAUAGAUGCACUAUUUCAGAUCGCAAUUUUAUACAAACGAAUAAAUAAUUUCACAAUUAAAAAUAAUAGUUGACGUAAAACACGAAGUUGUAUUGACCGACUUUUAUGCCUAGUCUGUAAUUAACACAGGUUUUUUUUACAGUGAAACCAGACAAUCUUAUGAUAAUUACGUACGAUUCUAUAACGAACGCGACGCAACGUCUGGAUCGACUGGAUUCAACGAAAGCAGCCUGAAUCCUGAGACUUCCUAAACUUAUUACGCUUCCUUGACGUUGAAAAUAAACGAUGAAGAAGAGCGGCAGACGGUAAAAACCGGGGAAUUUUUGUAAAACAAGUGGCUGCAACUCAGCUUGACGCCGCGCCGUGGAAACCGACUUCGAGGUUGCAUUAAGAGCUCCGCGGUAAAGUGUACUGUCAAUAAUUUAGAAACCCUCCGAUGAGGUUUUCUUUUCAAGCCAGCUACCGUACAGCGGAGACCAAUAGAAUGGUAAUAAGAUAAAGAAAAUGGGACGGAGGUACUCGAUUAUUGAUUGAUUGCAUAUGAGAAGGAUGAUGUGAAAGUACGGAAGUUACAGAUAUAUGAUUGAUCGGUGACAGGCUGUCGAAGACAGUUUGUAAAAAUAGAAUGUGCUAAUAAAAUCGAAUGGAUGUCAAGUGUUUUUUUAGCUCUGGUUCGAGCUUGUUCUGCGCUUGAACGCUAAUAAACUUCACAUUACUCAAUCAGUCAUUGACGUGCUGAACAAGUAUCACAUCAUAUCUACUUCUAUGUUCAUCAAAUAAAACUACGUCAAUAGCACUCAAAAGUGAAAUCGUCGUACUCUGUAAUUGUUUUAUUACGAAUAAUAUUUAUCGGAACUCUGUGGUAAAACCCCAUCUUGUACCGCGGAUGUGUCUACUGGCUACAUGCGGUACAAAUGCCCAUGAGGUUCCGGAUGGGGUUCGCUUUCCCAAAGCUACCUAACCACCAAUGCAAUCUCGUAUCUCACGAUGUAACAUUCACCCUUACCACCAUCGAAUUUAGUUUAGGCAGGUUAACGAUUCAUUCGGGAUAUUCGCUUGUGGCAAGCAGGGACCAAUGAAAUCCAGCCAUUUCGAGGCGACCAGUCGGCGGCUGAUCUUAAAGCUGCAACGCCGAAUAUUUGCAACCGGAUCGAACGUUGGUUGCCCAUCCGACUGAGUUUCCGUCGAAUAAAUUCGAAUGGCCAUGAGGGUGAGAGUCGUAGGGGACACACGAUGCUCGUAUACAAGGAUUAUUCAAAUUUCCGGCAACCCGUUCCCGUGGAAAACUGUCGAGACGUCCCGUGACCGAAGGGAUUUGCUCGAAAAUAUAAAAUAACACUAUCCAAGCAACGAUUCAAAGAGAUUUCCUAAGACAAUGGCCUCUAUUCAGAACUCGCUUAGGAUGCAGAAAGAUGUUUUCCUGGUCUGUUUGUUCUUCGUCCGGGACAAGUCCUCGAGCUUGUCCUUUCCUGGCACGGACGUUUUUAAGGGAAUCGUUCAGGCUAAAAGUACAGCGUGGUACUAAUAUGAACACGUGCUGGCAGUGACUACUGGAAUUGUAGAAAUAAGGAUGGAUAGAGCAUACUCGAAAGCACUUGAGAAUAGAGAAUAUAGUUUGUCGAGUGAUGGAAAGAAAUAUCGAAGUAUUUCUGCGUCAUUUAGAAAAAUUGCAUGUAAUGACUACGCAAGAAUAAUUUCUGUUCAUUUUUGUAUCACUUGGUGGCUAAAAAGCAAUAUACACAUGUAUACAGUAUAAUUUAAUGUUACUAUAUAUAUUUAUUAAUAAUUUAUCAUUAUUCAUUAUUUAAUGUUACACAAGCUAAUGUGUAUAACAGUGAACUUAAUCGAGGAAUUGCGGAGUGUAUGAAUAGCUGUAUAUGUUUCUACGUGGUUUAUAACCCGUUUCAUCUGUUAACUGAAAGUAAUUAGUGUUGUACUAAUGUUGCGAAAUAUGUGGAAAGCAUAAUUUAUCAAGACCUUCCGUACGAGUUGUGCCGUACUCCGCGAGUUUCGCAAGCGUUAAGAGCGAAACACAAGCUUGUAUCUCUUUCGUGCCAUAUAAAUACUAAAUAGCGUCAAGGAAAAGUGAUGUAAUCUGCAAAAUAAGAGAUCGGAAACUUAAAAAUAAAAUGUAAAUGAAUUGUCAAGAAUUUACAAUAUUUAUUAACGAUA